GAGGGUAUAGCUCAGUGGCAGAAUGCCUGCUUAGCAUGCAGGAAUUCCUGGGUUCAAUACUGAGUACCUCCA
rnacentral:tRNA from 1 species